UACGUAGGGUGCGAGCGUUAAUCGGAAUUACUGGGCGUAAAGCGUGCGCAGGCGGCUUUGCAAGACAGAUGUGAAAUCCCCAGGCUCAACCUGGGAACUGCGUCCGAUACUGGAUGGCUUGAAUCCGGGAGAGGGAUGCAGAAUUCCAGGUGUAGCGGUGAAAUGCGUAGAUAUCUGGAGGAAUACCGGUGGCGGAGGCGGCAUCCUGGACCAGCAUUGACGCUGAGGAACGAAAGCCAGGGGAGCAAACGGG
rnacentral:rRNA from 1 species